UCCUCAGGCUUGAAGAGACUUGCGGCAGUGGUGACUCUCAUCUGCUCGAAGAUGAACCCACUGUGGACCCUCCUCUUUGUGCUCUCAGCCCCCAGAGGGGUCCUGUCCCAGGUGCAGCUGAAGGAGUCGGGCCCCAGCCUGGUGAAGCCCUCACAGACCCUCUCCCUCACCUGCACGGUCUCUGGAUUCUCAUUGAGCAGCAAUGCUGUAGGCUGGGUCCGCCAGGCUCCAGGGAAGGCGCUGGAGUGCCUUGGUUGUAUAGACAGUGAUGGAGACACAGGCUAUAACCCAGCCCUGAAAUCCCGGCUCAGCAUCACCAAGGACAACUCCAAGAGCCAAGUCUCUCUGUCACUGAGCAGCGUGACAACUGAGGACACGGCCACAUACUACUGUGCAAGACACACAGUGAGGGGAAGUCAGUGUGAGCCCAGACAAAAACCUCCCUGCAUAAGGGCCCGUGACCACCAGGUGGCGCUCAGGACUCAGUACAGAGCUGAGCCCUGGAGCAGGUGCAGAAGAGGCGUUGGGCGGAUGGAGGUCUCAGUGAAGGCACAGCUGUUGGGGGUUACUGGUAACCAGUACUCCCUGCAGCUGAGCUCUGUGAUGACCAAGGACACGGCAGCGCGUUCUCUGGACAUUUGGUCAUCAGCCAUAGUUCUCUCCACGGAGACCCAGCGGGACCUCCACGCCACCUGA